UUUUGGUUAAGUUAAUAAGGGCGCACGGUGGAUGCCUUGGCACUAGGAGUCGAUGAAGGACGGCACUAACACCGAUAUGCCUCGGGGAGCUGUAAGUAAGCUUUGAUCCGGGGAUUUCCGAAUGGGGGAACCCACUAUCUUUAAUCGGAUAGUAUCUUCACGUGAAUUCAUA
rnacentral:rRNA from 1 species